rnacentral:rRNA from 1 species
UACAGAGGUUGCAAGCGUUGUUCGGAUUUAUUGGGCGUAAAGGGUCCGUAGGCGGUUUGGAAAGUCGGGUGUGAAAUCCUACAGCUUAACUGUAGAACUGCAUUCGAAACUCCCAGACUAGAGUAUGAGAGGGGUUAAGGGAAUUCCCGGUGUAAGGGUGAAAUCUGCAGAGAUCGGGAGGAACACCAGUCGCGAAGGCGCUUAACUGGCUCAUUACUGACGCUCAGGGACGAAAGCUAGGGUAGCAAACGGG